GGCUGAUUUGCCUUUCAAACGAAGGGGCACAAUGGAUUUCCAUCCUUUCUUUGAACCAAAUUUCAUAUUUCCUAAAGGGGAAGGUUAGAAUUCAAUUAAAGCCUUUCCCCAACCUGCUAAGCUUUAAAUUACACCAAUCAUGCACAUAGUAUUGCAGUCCCUGAGUCACCAGAUUUAGAGAGAGUAGCAGCCAUUAGAGUCCAUUAAGACACAUUCAUUAAAAAAAAAAA
rnacentral:misc_RNA from 1 species